rnacentral:rRNA from 1 species
UACGUAGGCAGCGAGCGUUGUUCGGAAUUAUUGGGCGUAAAGAGCUCGUAGGCGGUGUGUCGCGUCGGCCGUGAAAACCUGCAGCUUAACUGUGGGCGUGCGGUCGAUACGGGCAUCACUGGAGUUCGGCAGGGGAGACUGGAAUUCCUGGUGUAGCGGUGAAAUGCGCAGAUAUCAGGAGGAACACCGGUGGCGAAGGCGGGUCUCUGGGCCGAUACUGACGCUGAGGAGCGAAAGCGUGGGGAGCGAACAGG